rnacentral:rRNA from 1 species
AUUGGAUAACCGUGGGAAAUCUAGAGCUAAUACAUGCAGUAAAUUGUGAGGUGUCAAAACCUUUCAAAGCAUUUAUUGGAUCAAAACCAACUGUGCCAUUGGGUAAGAGUGGCAACACUCCUCCAUUGGUGCAAGGUGAAUCUAGAUAACUUUGCUGAUCGUAUGGCCCAGAGCUGACGACAUUUCAAAUGAAUUUCUGCCCUAUCAACUUGUUGGUAAGGUAGUGGCUUACCAAGGUGACAACGGGUAACGGGGAAUCAGGGUUCGAUUCCGGAGAGGGAGCCUGAGAAACGGCUACCACAUCCAAGGGAGGCAGCAGGCGCGCAAAUUACCCAAUCCAGAAUAUGGGAGGUGGUGACGAGAAAUACUAGAUGAUUUCCCUAAAAGGAUAUCAUACUGGAAUGGACGUAAUUUAAGCAUUUCGUUGAGUAACAACUGGAGGGCAAGUCUGGUGCCAGCAGCCGCGGUAAUUCCAGCUCCAGUAGUGUAUCUUAAAGUUGCUGCGUUUAAAACGCUCGUAGUUGGAUUACGCAGUGCAAAUUGGUCGAUUGGGGUGAUGCUGCAUUAAAUUCAUUGUUUUCACAUGGGGGUCAUGGUUUAUCCUGACAUUCUCUGUGUGUUUCAAUGAAGUAGUACACGUCGAUUAACAGCCAAUUUGUGCUACUUUUUCGUGAGGAUGAUAUUUGACCUUUAUUGUGUUGAAUGUUGUGUCUUACGAAGUGUGCCUUGAAUAAAUCAGAGUGCUCAAAGCAGGCUUUAGCUUGAAUGUUGAUAGCAUGGAACGAACAAUUGUGUUUUUGUGAGAUGGAGACGUGUACGUUGUGUUGAAUUAUAUUCGAUGCAAUGGAGGUCUCUAAUUCACUGCACCAACCACCAUUAUCGGAUGUUGGUUUCCGUGAUGGGGUGAUGAUUAAAAGGAGCAAUUGGGGGCAUUGGUAUUUUGCUGCGAGAGGUGAAAUUCUUAGACCAGCAAAGGACUAACAAAUGCGAAGGCAUCUGUCAAGAUUGUUUCCAUUAAUCAAGAACGAUAGUGAGAGGUUCGAAGUCGAUCAGAUACCGACCUAGUUCUCACUGUAAACUAUGCCGACCCGGGAUCAGU